rnacentral:rRNA from 1 species
CAGUAGCCGCGGUAAAACGUAGGGUGCAAGCGUUAGUCGGAAUUACUGGGCGCAAAGCGUGCGCAGGCGGUUCGUUAAGACAGAUGUGAAAUCCCCGGGCUUAACCUGGGAACUGCAUUUGUGACUGGCGGGCUAGAGUAUGGCAGAGGGGGGUAGAAUUCCACGUGUAGCAGUGAAAUGCGUAGAGAUGUGGAGGAAUACCGAUGGCGAAGGCAGCCCCCUGGGCCAAUACUGACGCCCAUGCACGAAAGCGUGGGGAGCAAGCAGGAUUAGAUACCCGCGUAGUCCCUGUCUCUUAUAC